AUGGGUGGCACACUUGUCAUGGCAGUGUGCAUAUGUCUCGUUACACGCGGUCUGGCCUCGGUCCACCGCACCCUAGGCCUCCCCAGGUUGCCAAUUGUUGUGGUGUUUAUGAUUGUUUUGGACGCCUCCUGUAUUUCCUGCCUGGAGCGCAGAGGCGGCCCCGCAGCCCCGUCCUCCAAGCCGCCUGAAGCCGCGGCGGACAGCGAUGCUGAUGGCGGUCGGGCCGCUGUCGCUGCUACGGACGGGCCCGGCUACUCGGGCAAGGUGCGGUCUGAUCUGGACCACCGGGCGUACAUGCCAGCGGCUUGGCGUGUGGAUGACUACCUAGAGGAGGAGCAGGAGGAUGAGGCAGGGCAGGGCGGGGCCGGGGACUCGCUGGCAGUGCUGCGUGCUCACCGUUUUGAGGCGGCCAAGGACCGCAAGGACGCCAUGAGCCGGGACAUGGACAACCUCGACGACUAUGUGGUGGGUCGCGAUGUCGCGUGUGCCGUUUAAAGCGGUGGUGUGAGGGCAUGAGUGAACCAACCGACUGAACCUGGGCAUGAAGGUUCUUUUUGAUUGCGCCUUUCCCACUGGUAAGUGCUUCUCCUCCACUUCACUGUGCACCCCCACGCGCACCUGUCUCCAUUCUUGAUCCUCCCCGCCAGGUGUACGACCCGCUGCUUGAGAAGGGCAAGGGCAAGUGGAGCAUGGCCAACCAAAAGGAGCAGAAGCGGCAGAACGAAUGGGCGGGGCGGGCCAACAUGUGAGGUUGAGUACCGCGCCUGACCAGCAGAUGUGCCCUCGUGUUGCGGCCACGCGGGCACAGGUUGGGUGGGCUGCAGAUGCUAAUUCAUGUGAGGCUGCUUAUGGCGACAGCGGAAUGUGUUCUAUGUUGCCGGCCAAAGCGCACGUGUUUGUCUGUGCGCUAGAAGUGCAAGUUGCUUAAAAUGCAGUGGCGGUGGUGUGGUGUGAUGCAGUCCUUUCUUCGUGAAAUUGGAGCCAUCGUAUAGGUAACAAAAUAUCCACCGCCUAAUCCUUUAGGGUUCAUUGUAACACGAUUCAUAUGACAUGCAGGAACGGACAGACAAACUUAAAAAAUCCCGGUCAGUCAGCGAGGCAGGCAGACGGUGAGGCAAAUACCCCGGGAAUGUGCUCACGGAUUUCGCACCUGAUGCUUAUCCCGCGUUCAGCGAAUCGCAAGCUUAUGCAGUUUAGGCUUUGCUGUUGGGCAUUGGCGGCUAACAGAGCUUUGUCUGAAGUGCGAGGUAGGACAGUGCUUAUAGGCAAUCUGGCAGCCCUUGAGCCCUCAGCUCGUAUUAGGGCGGUUUGCAGGUAUGGGGAACGCACCCACGACCAUGUAACACACACACACACAUAAGAUCGCGUGUACAUCUGCGAGGAUGUGAAAAUAAACUGGCGCAGCAAUGAACCUCCCAGUGUGCAUGACUGUGCAUAAGGAAGUUGUACGGAAUUCAAGGACGGUCGGCCAGUUCCUUAGUCCUGGCGGGCCUCCCGACCCUUGACCCCGUUGCAGCUGCUCCGCUCUUAAGCUGCAUCAUUUGAGACUUGACGCGGACCACAAGACAGGCUGUGUAAAUCUUUUAUAUAUUCGAAGUAUGGUCAUAUGUCAAGAGGAGAUGCCAGUGGGUUGUGCAAGGAGUAUGGAGUUGUGCAUUUGCGUACAUCCUUCGUGCGAUACACAUGCGCACACUAGUGUCCCUUACAUGGCGUAGGGCUCGAGGGGUCCCUCGGAUCUCUUGCCAGGAAGUAUAUACCUACAAGCAACGAACUGUAACAUUCUUGCCAGGACGACUGAACUUGUCCUGCUGUAGCUAUCUUAAUGUUCUUCUGUAGCUGUCUUAUUGCUGUUUAACCAAAAGGGGAAAGGGAGUUAGGCCAGCGCAGCUUCUGCGCUAUCCACGACACAACGUGCGCAAAGGGGGGCCCCCACAACCCCCGCCGCAUCCCUCUAAUGCUUCACAGGGAAUAGGUUCAUCCAGGAGAUGACUAGAUAUCAUUGCAAUCUGAUUGGUGUCACAAAAUUGGACAACGUAGGAUUAUCGUGGAAAACUCCCAAAUGUCCACUGCCCUCAUAUACCAAGGGCGCAGCAAAGGAAUAACUCGCGACCGCCUCCUCCUUUGUAUCUGAAAAGCAUGGCCAUAAGCCAAUUGCGCUGUGCUCAUUGUUUAUUUUGCGUCCUUGUGUCACGAGACAACGCAAGUUCUGCAAGGAUACAUUAUAUGCACCAUAUGUCGGUUAACAGAGUAAGAGGCUUGAAUAUUGAUGAGCAAAAACUGGCGAACGCAAAAGUCCGGCUCUCCGCACUCCAAACUACAUGGACCCAGCCUACACUACCAGGUGCACACUGCUACUAGUUAGUACAUAGAUAUUUUGCCUCGCUAAUGUACCCGUCUUCUCU
rnacentral:lncRNA from 1 species